rnacentral:rRNA from 1 species
UCGAAAACUUUGCAAUACACGAAAGUGUGACAAGGCUAUCCCGAGUGCCAUCCGCUGAGGAAGGCUUUUACCCAGUAUAAAUAGCUGGGAGAAUAAGGAGAGGGCAAGUCUGGUGUCAGCCGCCGCGGUAAUACCAGCUCUCCGAGUAGUGUGGAUGUUUAUUGGGCCUAAAGCAUCCGUAGCUUGCUAAGCAAGUCCCCUGUUAAAUCCACCGAUUCAAUCGAUGGAUUGCGGGGGAUACUGUUUGGCUAGGGGACGGGAGAGGCCGACGGUAUUUCCGGGGUAGGGGUGAAAUCCUAUAAUCCCGGGAAGACCACCAGUGGCGAAGGCUGUCGGCUAGAACGCGCCCGACGGUGAGGGAUGAAAGCUGGGGGAGCGAACCGGAUUAGAUACCCGGGUAGUCCCAGCUGUAAACGAUGCAGGCUAGGUGUUUGGGCGGCCACGAGCCGCUCUAGUGCCGCAGGGAAGCUGUUAAGCCUGCCGCCUGGGGAGUACGGCCGCCAAGGCUGAAACUUAAAGGAAUUGGCGGGGGAGCACCCCACAGGGGUGAAGCUUGCGGUUUAAUUGGAGUCACGCCGGAAAUCUCACCGGGAGCGACAGCAGUAUGAAGGCCAGAUUAAAGGUCUUGCUAGACGAGCUGAGAGGAGGUGCAUGGCCGUCGCCAGUUCGUGCCGUGAGGUGUCCUGUUAAGUCAGGCAACGAUCGAGACCCGCGUCCUCUGUUGCUACUGGCUUUGAGCCAGGCACACUGAGGAGACCGCCGCUGAUAAAGCGGAGGAAGGAGCGGGCCACGGCAGGUCAGUACGCCCCGAAUCUCCCGGGCCACACGCGAGCUGCAAUGGCAGGUACAAUGAGUUCCGACCUCGUAAGGGGAAGGCAAUCCCGAAAGCCUGCCGUAGUUGGGAUCGAGGGUUGAAACUCACCCUCGUGAACAUGGAAUCCCUAGUAAUCGCGUGUCACUAGCGCGCGGUGAAUACGUCCCUGCUCCUUGCACGAAUUCGCCGA